rnacentral:pre_miRNA from 1 species
UUAACUCAAAUUUGUAUGCAGUUGGAACAGCGCCCCUAGCGGCAAACGCAGGUAAACAUUCCAAUUUCAUACAAAUUUAAGUUA